rnacentral:rRNA from 1 species
GAUGAACGCUGGCGGCGUGCCUAACACAUGCAAGUCGAACGAACCUUUCGGGGUUAGUGGCGGACGGGUGAGUAACACGUGGGAACGUGCCUUUAGGUUCGGAAUAACUCAGGGAAACUUGUGCUAAUACCGAAUGUGCCCUUCGGGGGAAAGAUUUAUCGCCUUUAGAGCGGCCCGCGUCUGAUUAGCUAGUUGGUUGAGGUAAUGGCUCACCAAGGCGACGAUCAGUAGCUGGUCUGAGAGGAUGAUCAGCCACAUUGGGACUGAGACACGGCCCAAACUCCUACGGGAGGCAGCAGUGGGGAAUCUUGCGCAAUGGGCGAAAGCCUGACGCAGCCAUGCCGCGUGAAUGAUGAAGGUCUUAGGAUUGUAAAAUUCUUUCACCGGGGACGAUAAUGACGGUACCCGGAGAAGAAGCCCCGGCUAACUUCGUG